rnacentral:rRNA from 1 species
UAGGGANUCUUCCGCAAUGGACGCAAGUCUGACGGAGCAACGCCGCGUGAGUGAAGAAGGUUUUCGGAUCGUAAAACUCUGUUGUUAGAGAAGAACAAGUGCUAGAGUAACUGUUAGCGCCUUGACGGUAUCUAACCAGAAAGCCACGGCUAACUACGUGCCAGCAGCCGCGGUAAUACGUAGGUGGCAAGCGUUGUCCGGAUUUAUUGGGCGUAAAGCGAGCGCAGGCGGUUCCUUAAGUCUGAUGUGAAAGCCUCCGGCUCAACCGGGGAGGGUCAUUGGAAACUGGGGAACUUGAGUGCAGAAGAGGAGAGUGGAAUUCCAUGUGUAGCGGUGAAAUGCGUAGAUAUAUGGAGGAACACCAGUGGCGAAGGCGACUCUCUGGUCUGUAACUGACGCUGAGGCUCGAAAGCGUGGGUAGCAAACAGGAUUAGAUACCCUGGUAGUCCACGCCGUAAACGAUGAGUGCUAAGUGUUGGAGGGUUUCCGCCCUUCAGUGCUGCAGUUAACGCAUUAAGCACUCCGCCUGGGGAGUACGACCGCAAGGUUG